rnacentral:rRNA from 1 species
ACACUCCUGCGGGAGGCAGCAGUGGUGAAUAUUGGACAAUGGGCGCAAGCCUGAUCCAGCCAUGCCGCGUGAGUGAUGAAGGCCCUAGGGUUGUAAAGCUCUUUCACCGGUGAAGAUAAUGACGGUAACCGGAGAAGAAGCCCCGGCUAACUUCGUGCCAGCAGCCGCGGUAAUACGAAGGGGGCUAGCGUUGUUCGGAUUUACUGGGCGUAAAGCGCACGUAGGCGGACUAUUAAGUCAGGGGUGAAAUCCCGGGGCUCAACCCCGGAACUGCCUUUGAUACUGGUAGUCUUGAGUUCGAGAGAGGUGAGUGGAAUUCCGAGUGUAGAGGUGAAAUUCGUAGAUAUUCGGAGGAACACCAGUGGCGAAGGCGGCUCACUGGCUCGAUACUGACGCUGAGGUGCGAAAGCGUGGGGAGCAAACAGGAUUAGAAACCCUUGUAGUCCCAU